GGUUAAAGAGUUGUAUUCGAGCUCGGCUCGACUCUCCCACCCAAUGUGUACCUACCUCUGUUGCUUUGGCGGGCCGCGGUCCUCCGCACCGGCGCCCUUCGGGGGGCUGGCCAGCGCCCGCCAGAGGACCAUAAAACUCCAGUCAGUGAACUUCGCAGUCUGAAAAACAAGUUAAUAAACUAAAACUUUCAACAACGGAUCUCUUGGUUCUGGCAUCGAUGAAGAACGCAGCGAAAUGCGAUAAGUAAUGUGAAUUGCAGAAUUCAGUGAAUCAUCGAAUCUUUGAACGCACAUUGCGCCCCUUGGUAUUCCGAGGGGCAUGCCUGUUCGAGCGUCAUUUCAACCCUCAAGCUCUGCUUGGUGUUGGGCCCCGUCCUCCACGGACGCGCCUUAAAGACCUCGGCGGUGGCGUCUUGCCUCAAGCGUAGUAGAAAACACCUCGCUUUGGAGCGCACGGCGUCGCCCGCCGGACGAACCUUUGAAUUAUUUCUCAAGGUUGACCUCGGAUCAGGUAGGGAUACCCGCUGAACUUAAGCAUAUCAAUAAGCGGAGGAAA
rnacentral:rRNA from 1 species